rnacentral:rRNA from 1 species
AUUGAACGCUGGCGGCAGGCCUAACACAUGCAAGUCGAACGAGUGGCGGACGGGUGAGUAAUGUCUGGGAAACUGCCUGAUGGAGGGGGAUAACUACUGGAAACGGUAGCUAAUACCGCAUACCAUCAGAUGGGCCCAGAUGGGAUUAGCUUGGUGGUGGGGUAACGGCUCACCAAGGCGACGAUCCCUAGCUGGUCUGAGAGGAUUACCAGCCACACUGGAACUGAGACACGGUCCAGACUCCUACGGUAGGCAGCAGUGUGGAAUAUUGCCCCAUGGGCUCAAGCCUGAUGCAGCCAUGCCGCGUGUAUGAAGACGGCCUUCGGUUUGUAAAGUACUUUCCGCGGGGAGGCGUUACCCGCAGAAGAAGCCCCGGCUAACUCCGUGCCAGCCGCCGCGGUAAUUC